CAAGAUCCCUGUAUGAUCACCAAAGUUAAGCAAUGUCUAGCUUGGUUAGUACCUAGAUGGGUGACUGCUUGGGAAUAACAGGUGCUGUAAG